rnacentral:tRNA from 1 species
UAAACUGAUACCCGUUGGUUUGGGUAGAUAGCUGUUAACUAUUUUUUGUGGGAUCGAGGCCCAUCAGUUUA